CUGCACUCAUCUAGACCCACUGACACUACUGAUGAGUAAAACACCACAGCAUUGUCCCAAUAUUCCAUCAAUAAAAAGAUACAUAUUUAUCUGUUAACACUUUUAAGCAAUGGAGUUUUGUGUUAAUUAAUGUAUCGAUGCAGCUCGACGAUAGAGCCGUUGAUGCCGUCAAGACAAAGUUCUUUAAGAACUACAAGAACUGGUGCAAAUUUUUAGGACGUAAACAUAGUUUAAGGUACCAGGCAACAUUUUAUUUUCACAAAUGGCUUGAAUGAGACACUUUUUUGAAUGAUGUUUAUACUCUUAAUAAAAAUUCACUCAUUUAAUUUAUGCGAAGGCUUUCUCAAGGUGCUGAAGAUAUACAACAGGAGAAGAUACUGUAUAUGGGUUUUUAAAUCCUUUUUAGCUGAUAUGAUUAGUCAAACACAAGAAUUCAUCAAUAUUUACCUGCUUUUUAUUCUCAGAUGGCUUAUGAACUCCAUGGUCUUCUGGCUGGAAAUGUCAGCAUCGUUACUGGAGAAAAUAUCAAGCCUUCUUACGGUGGAGAUGAUGAGGCCUUUCUGCUGAAAAGCAAGUAAGAAUGCCACUGGCAAGGCCGCUCACUCAGAUUGGUCCAACUAUGAUGAUCUGUAUGAAUAUUUUUGGUCUCCAGAUUGCUUCUAUCUCGGCUGGCCAAUGCGUGAUGAUGGAGAUCUCUCUCCAGUAUCUUCAUUACAGCAGCUUUUCUACGCUUCCUCCAGAGUAUCUUGGAUAUUAUCUUAAACUUCCCGGGUUUCCACAGAUGGAAAUUUACUGAAAUUUUGAGAAAUAUUCUCAAGAUCGCUGUAAGUCUCGCUUGGUGUGUAGUCUUACCGCUUUGCGAUGCCCAGUCCAAUUCUUCUGCUCCUGGGAUGCUGAAGCAAUGGAUAUCAUUCCUUCCACGAGACGUUAAAGGGGUUCCCCCGCUCCAUAUCUUGGCUGUCGCUCUUUACUUGCUCCCAAAUGUACCAUGUUCAUUUUCCCUAUGCUUCGACGCUGGAUUGAGAAUUCAGACUGGCAUAUAAUUAGAUUGCAUGUGUGGUGGUCACAGGUAUGAUGCUGGAUUUAUAAUUCCUUUCUUUUCAUCCUGGAUGAAAAUUAUGAUUCUGUUUAGUCAGCAAAUCCCUUUAGGCAUGCUAGAAGAGCUCUGAACUCUGUUAUGUCUUAUGUUUUAUAUAUUGCAGUGCUAAUGGCAUAAAUUAUUUGAGUAUUUUCUAUAUAUUUAAAUUGCAUUGUAUGAUUGUAUCUAGAGGCUAUCUCUUGGCUCAGUUUAGCAGCUCAAAUAUGACUGAAUCACCACAAACCUCACCGGCUAUUCUUUUUGACGUUUGCAACAAGAGACAAGAUUAUAUAUAUAAAAGCUCAUGCGUCCAUGGUUCUUAGUGUCUUUGUCUUUUUUAGUUUCUUUUUUUACUAGGAAACUUCUGAUAUUUGUAUGUAUUUGAUUCAUUCUUCUUAGUGUCUUUGUCUUUUUUAGUUUCUUUUUUUACUAGAGUGUUGUGUUUUGUCUGUCUAAAGACAUACUCUCUGGGUUAUCUCAUAAAACGAAGAGAUGUAAUAAAUUGCUCCUUAUCAACUGGACACGCACUGAAAAUACUAAAGAUUACCCAUAUUGGGAUCUAAACUAUUUUUUUCAUCCCCGGAUGCUGAAGAUUACAACGUAGGCCAAAUUGGCCUACAAGUCCACGGUGGUGCACCAGGUAUGUCCAUUCCUUACCUUACUUUACUUUCUCUACCAGUUAUGUUUUGGUAUUUACGGUUUAUUGGAUUCGUGUCGGCAGCACGAGGAAAAUCUCAUCACAUUCAUGAUCCGAUGAAAGAGGUUAGGAGGAGAUAGUUCCUCCAGGCACAAAGGCUUUUCAUGUCAUGGCUACUUCCCACACUAAAGUCUGAGCCAACCAAAGCAGUGGAACCAGUACGAGGCCCCAAUACCUCUCACGGACACGAAGCUCUGCCUCAUCAUGCAGGACCCUUAGGUGUGUCGGAAAAAUAAGAAAAAGAGGCGUAGGAAAACGUAUAACACACACGUGUCUUUACUCUCUCUGACAUGAGAUGUCACUAGAACAUUUGUUCCUGGUGACAACUUAGAGUCAACAUCGAGAGAGACAGAGGAUUGGAGGAAAUGACGGCUGCUCGGGUCUUGGUGGGAUCUCGAAUUAUAGUCCAAAGUCACUUUUCCCACCGGAAAAACUGGUGGAGAAAUUGGAGCAGCACAGCUCUUGCGAGGAGGAAAGGAACAUGUGAUGAUGUUCAACUAGGCUCCUGGAAGAGAGAGGGGAUACAGUCAAGAAGAAUGAAAUCAUACCUUCUUCUGAAACGGAAGUCUCUGCUGGUUGCGGUUAGGGCAAGCUGAACAUGCCUUAUAUGAUGCUAACGUCUGCAGAGAACUAAAACCUGAUUGGUCUAAAAGAUGUUGUUUCCGUGAAGGUGUUGCUCUUUGUUUCCUACAGAGAUUUGUUGAGGCAGCCAAUGCCUUUUUACGAAGGAGUAAAGCAAAGAGAUCAGUGAUGAGUUCAGAGAAGUUGUAGAUGCUCAAAAGGAAGUUUCCCGGCAAGGGAAAGAUUAAGGCCAAACCAUAAGAUCUUCUAGAGAAGGCUCUUUUUAGUAUAUGUAUGAAGUUUUGAUAUUGCUUCUUACCUUGGUCUCUCCCAUGACAUUGUUGCCUAUCUUUACUUACACGUACUAAAAACUUCAGGCAUAAAAUUUUGUUUGUGCUCUGAUUAAAAGGGAUAUAUGAAGGCUUCUAAGAUGUGCCACGUCGGAUUAAAAAUUCAUCCAAUCAAAAGGUUAUAUUUUGACAUGUCACGCAGCUGUGUCCAUCUGACUCUUCAUUCUUCUUCACCAUCUCCGUUCUCUAGCAAUCACCGUUACUGCGAAACCCUCCUCAUCAAUCAAAGUUGCUAUUUAAUCUCUUCUUCAUGGUUUUGUUCCAUCUCCCGUUGAUUCUCCUACGAUAUAAGCCGCUUCAUCUAAACCCUGAAUCAAGCCCAAAUCGAAAACUAUCACUAACGAAGCUACAAUUACGACCACAUAAUCCACCGGUAAGUCUCCUGCCUCCGAAGUUUCGCUCGGACCAAAAUCCAUUUCUGGGAGGCCAAAAACAUUGCAAAAGGUGGGACCUUUAUUGGCUUAGAGCUGCUAGGAUCAAGCUGGAGGUCGCUUCAUAGGGUACCAGCCUAAUCAGCACGUAGUACCUUUGUUAGUUUAGAAUCUCAAAACACUCUAUUGGUUUGUGGGUUUCAGAAAAACUGAGAACUGUUCUUUAUAUUUGUAUGCAGGAGAUCGAUUUUGAGUUUGAGACUGAAUAAAAGAAAUAUCUUACCAGACAAGGAAAUAAUUAAGAGGUAUAUACACAACAUCUUAAUGAAUGUAGCUUUUUGCUAGGAAGCGUAUAAGUUGAAUAUUUUUCUUCCUAUUCUGCAGUCAUUGAAAGAUGAAACUAAAAGACUUAGCUUUCUUCAAGAAAAUAAAAUGUAUAUGGCAAAUCUUCAAAAGCUCCUGCUAAAAACGAAAAGGUAAUUUUUCUCCUUUGCACAUGUAAUAAUUUCAGAUACCUUGGCAACGCUGAUGCUAGGGUAGGAUUUGUAUUCUUUAGUCUUUUUUGCUCCUUCACCUGUAAUAAUUUUAGUUACCUUGGCAACGCAAGACGACCUAAUGAAUUUAUGUUGAACCUGUGAACUAUAUUUCCUACUUAUUAUUUCUUUGAUUUUAACAGAGAGACAAUGUCAGGAACCAAAGGGAGUAUCUGGUUUGUUUACUUGCUGAUAAUCAUAUAAGGUUGACUCCCAGGCCAGAGUUUCUGAAUAAGCUCGACGAUAGAGCCGUUGAUGCCGUCAAGACAAAGUUCUUUAAGAACUACAAGAACUGGUGCAAAUUUUUAGGACGUAAACAUAGUUUAAGGUACCAGGCAACAUUUUAUUUUCACAAAUGGCUUGAAUGAGACACUUUUUUGAAUGAUGUUUAUACUCUUAAUAAAAAUUCACUCAUUUAAUUUAUGCGAAGGCUUUCUCAAGGUGCUGAAGAUAUACAACAGGAGAAGAUACUGUAUAUGGGUUUUUAAAUCCUUUUUAGCUGAUAUGAUUAGUCAAACACAAGAAUUCAUCAAUAUUUACCUGCUUUUUAUUCUCAGAUGGCUUAUGAACUCCAUGGUCUUCUGGCUGGAAAUGUCAGCAUCGUUACUGGAGAAAAUAUCAAGCCUUCUUACGGUGGAGAUGAUGAGGCCUUUCUGCUGAAAAGCAAGUAAGAAUGCCACUGGCAAGGCCGCUCACUCAGAUUGGUCCAACUAUGAUGAUCUGUAUGAAUAUUUUUGGUCUCCAGAUUGCUUCUAUCUCGGCUGGCCAAUGCGUGAUGAUGGAGAUCUCUCUCCAGUAUCUUCAUUACAGCAGCUUUUCUACGCUUCCUCCAGAGUAUCUUGGAUAUUAUCUUAAACUUCCCGGGUUUCCACAGAUGGAAAUUUACUGAAAUUUUGAGAAAUAUUCUCAAGAUCGCUGUAAGUCUCGCUUGGUGUGUAGUCUUACCGCUUUGCGAUGCCCAGUCCAAUUCUUCUGCUCCUGGGAUGCUGAAGCAAUGGAUAUCAUUCCUUCCACGAGACGUUAAAGGGGUUCCCCCGCUCCAUAUCUUGGCUGUCGCUCUUUACUUGCUCCCAAAUGUACCAUGUUCAUUUUCCCUAUGCUUCGACGCUGGAUUGAGAAUUCAGACUGGCAUAUAAUUAGAUUGCAUGUGUGGUGGUCACAGGUAUGAUGCUGGAUUUAUAAUUCCUUUCUUUUCAUCCUGGAUGAAAAUUAUGAUUCUGUUUAGUCAGCAAAUCCCUUUAGGCAUGCUAGAAGAGCUCUGAACUCUGUUAUGUCUUAUGUUUUAUAUAUUGCAGUGCUAAUGGCAUAAAUUAUUUGAGUAUUUUCUAUAUAUUUAAAUUGCAUUGUAUGAUUGUAUCUAGAGGCUAUCUCUUGGCUCAGUUUAGCAGCUCAAAUAUGACUGAAUCACCACAAACCUCACCGGCUAUUCUUUUUGACGUUUGCAACAAGAGACAAGAUUAUAUAUAUAAAAGCUCAUGCGUCCAUGGUUCUUAGUGUCUUUGUCUUUUUUAGUUUCUUUUUUUACUAGGAAACUUCUGAUAUUUGUAUGUAUUUGAUUCAUUCUUCUUAGUGUCUUUGUCUUUUUUAGUUUCUUUUUUUACUAGAGUGUUGUGUUUUGUCUGUCUAAAGACAUACUCUCUGGGUUAUCUCAUAAAACGAAGAGAUGUAAUAAAUUGCUCCUUAUCAACUGGACACGCACUGAAAAUACUAAAGAUUACCCAUAUUGGGAUCUAAACUAUUUUUUUCAUCCCCGGAUGCUGAAGAUUACAACGUAGGCCAAAUUGGCCUACAAGUCCACGGUGGUGCACCAGGUAUGUCCAUUCCUUACCUUACUUUACUUUCUCUACCAGUUAUGUUUUGGUAUUUACGGUUUAUUGGAUUCGUGUCGGCAGCACGAGGAAAAUCUCAUCACAUUCAUGAUCCGAUGAAAGAGGUUAGGAGGAGAUAGUUCCUCCAGGCACAAAGGCUUUUCAUGUCAUGGCUACUUCCCACACUAAAGUCUGAGCCAACCAAAGCAGUGGAACCAGUACGAGGCCCCAAUACCUCUCAUGGACACGAAGCUCUGCCUCAUCAUGCAGGACCCUUAGGUGUGUCGGAAAAAUAAGAAAAAGAGGCGUAGGAAAACGUAUAACACACACGUGUCUUUACUCUCUCUGACAUGAGAUGUCACUAGAACAUUUGUUCCUGGUGACAACUUAGAGUCAACAUCGAGAGAGACAGAGGAUUGGAGGAAAUGACGGCUGCUCGGGUCUUGGUGGGAUCUCGAAUUAUAGUCCAAAGUCACUUUUCCCACCGGAAAAACUGGUGGAGAAAUUGGAGCAGCACAGCUCUUGCGAGGAGGAAAGGAACAUGUGAUGAUGUUCAACUAGGCUCCUGGAAGAGAGAGGGGAUACAGUCAAGAAGAAUGAAAUCAUACCUUCUUCUGAAACGGAAGUCUCUGCUGGUUGCGGUUAGGGCAAGCUGAACAUGCCUUAUAUGAUGCUAACGUCUGCAGAGAACUAAAACCUGAUUGGUCUAAAAGAUGUUGUUUCCGUGAAGGUGUUGCUCUUUGUUUCCUACAGAGAUUUGUUGAGGCAGCCAAUGCCUUUUUACGAAGGAGUAAAGCAAAGAGAUCAGUGAUGAGUUCAGAGAAGUUGUAGAUGCUCAAAAGGAAGUUUCCCGGCAAGGGAAAGAUUAAGGCCAAACCAUAAGAUCUUCUAGAGAAGGCUCUUUUUAGUAUAUGUAUAAGUU